rnacentral:rRNA from 1 species
UACGUAGGGGGCAAGCGUUGUUCGGAAUUACUGGGCGUAAAGGGCGCGUAGGCGGCACGGCAAGUCGGGAGUGAAAGCCCGGGGCUCAACCCCGGAGGGUCUUCCGAAACUGCCGAGCUAGAGUGCGGAAGAGGCAACCGGAAUUCCCAGUGUAGCGGUGAAAUGCGUAGAUAUUGGGAAGAACACCAGAGGCGAAGGCGGGUUGCUGGGCCGACACUGACGCUGAGGCGCGAAAGCCAGGGGAGCAAACGGG